AAUCCGGGGUCCCCGACCCCCGAGUUGUAAUUUGGAGAGGCAUCCUCCGGGAGGAGCGCUGGCCCAGGUUCCUUGGAACAGGACGUCAGAGAGGGUGAGAAUCCCGUGCCAGGCCGGCUUCCUCCUCCAGGGUGGAGGGCCUUCGACGAGUCGAGUUGUUUGGGAAUGCAGCUCCAAGUGGGUGGUAGAUUUCAUCUAAAGCUAAAUACCGGCGGGAGACCGAUAGCGCACAAGUAGAGUGAUCGAAAGAUGAAAAGCACUUUGAAAAUAGAGUCAAAAAGUACGUGAAAUUGUUGAAAGGGAAGCGCUUGAGGCCAGACUCGGACCCGAGCAAACAUCGAGCCCCUCGGGGCCGUGCAAUUGCUCUGGGGACGGGCCAGCAUCGGUCGGCGUGGCGGGACAAAGGUGCGGGGAAUGUGGCUCCCCCCGGGGAGUGUUAUCAGGCCCGCGCCCCAUGCCGCCGACGCCGACCGUGGACCGCGCCCCGCUAACGGGCUAGGAUGCUGGCAUAAUGGCCUUCAGCGACCCGUCUUGAAACACGGACCAAGGAGUCUAACGUCUAUGCGAGUGUUUGGGCGUCAAACCCUUGCGCGGAAUGAAAGUGAGCGGAGGUGGGAACCCCUAGCCGGGCGCACCAUCGACCGAUCCUGAUGUCUUCGGAUGGAUUUGAGUA
rnacentral:rRNA from 1 species